CCGAAAAAGACAUUCUUAAUCGAUGAAAAAAAAAGUUUCUCUGUCUCUCUAAAGCACGAACCUCGAGUAGUUCUAGAUCAAUGGGCAACUCACCUUCUAAGAUCUAUAGCAGUUUUAGGUUUUGGAACUGAAUUUGCCGUCUGUCUUCAUCUCCGACAAGUUCAAGAGCGUCACAGAGGGUUUCGGAAGACAACAAUUUGUGUUUGAGAAAAAUUGAAGCAGUCGACAUCCUAGUGUAUUCGAUUCGAUUGAGAAAAGCUUAGGAAACAAACAUUCAAAUUCCUUUGAACGAUCAAAGUCCAAAAUUGAAAAGGUUUGUAUUAAAAUCUUGCUUCUAAAUAAAGGUUUGAAAAGGUUUGUCUGAAAGGAUAUUUUAGUAAAGUU